rnacentral:piRNA from 1 species
UGGGUGUUUAAGGACAUGCGGUCGGCAGGU